rnacentral:rRNA from 1 species
UACGUAGGGCGCGGGCGUUGUCCGGAUUUACUGGGCGUAAAGAGCGCGCAGGCGGUCGUGCAAGUCGCGUGUGAAAGCCCCCGGCUCAACUGGGGAGGGUCACGCGAUACUGCUCGACUCGAAGGCAGGAGAGGGAAGUGGAAUUCCCGGUGUAGUGGUGAAAUGCGUAGAUAUCGGGAGGAACACCAGUGGCGAAGGCGACUUCCUGGCCUGUUCUUGACGCUGAGGCGCGAAAGCUAGGGUAGCAAACGGG